UCCUACGGGAGGCAGCAGUGGGGAAUAUUGCACAAUGGGGGAAACCCUGAUGCAGCAACGCCGCGUGGAGGAUGACGCAUUUCGGUGUGUAAACUCCUUUUAUAAGGGAAGAUAAUGACGGUACCUUAUGAAUAAGCACCGGCUAACUCCGUGCCAGCAGCCGCGGUAAUA
rnacentral:rRNA from 1 species